UGCGGGUGCAUAUAUCAUCAGGCGCUUUCGAGGGGCAUGGAAGGUAGGGUGAUUGAAUAAUUCAUUGAGAAAUUGGAAAAAUAGGAGAGAAUUGCUGACAGUUCGUAGAAGGUGAGAUCAAUUAAUAUACUUCCUAGUUCUGGCAGUCCAGUGGAUUGAUAUUAUUACAAUCGCUGAGAACUCACUAAUUAAAAACUUGUGACACACCUUUGACGUUGCAUCGGAGCAUAGCCUGUGAAUCGAAGUUGAACACAACGAGUGAAGUUGACAUGUAAUUGUAAUUAUUCCUUUAUUCAGGUAAUUGCAUUCUUGGUCUCGAAAUGGAAAACACUCAGAGGAUCAGAGGCUACAGUUUCCAGACAUUUGCGAUUGUUGGGGCUGGACAAUGAACCCAAGCAACAGUGAAGCUAUGUGUCAGUUUUAUUUCAAUAUGGAUACAGCGUCUCAAUGGCAAAUGCAGAAGAAUCGGUUUACCGAAUUUCCCAGGUGAUUGAUGACACUGUUUGUUGGCAGCUAAGGUGAUUAAAUAGUUCAUGAGGAAAUUGGAAAAAUAGGAGAGAAUUGCUGACAGUUCGUAGGAGGUAAUUGCAUUCUUGGUCUCCCAAUGGAAAACAGUCAGAGGAUCAGAGGCUACAGUCUCCAGACAUUUGCAAUUUUGGGGGCUGGACAAUGGAACUAAGCAACAGUGAAGCUACGUGUCAGUUUUAUUUGAAUAUGGAUACAGCGUCUCAAUCGAAAAUGCAGAAACAAAUGCUGUUCUUUGACAGAACUAUGGCCAUUGCACGCUAUGGCCAUUUUGUCG